rnacentral:rRNA from 1 species
UACGGAGGGGGCAAGCGUUAUCCGGAUUCACUGGGUGUAAAGGGUGCGUAGGCGGGCAGGUAAGUCAGGGGUGAAAUCUCCGAGCUUAACUCGGAAACUGCCAUUGAUACUAUUUGUCUUGAAUAUUGUGGAGGUAAGCGGAAUAUGUCAUGUAGCGGUGAAAUGCUUAGAUAUGACAUAGAACACCAAUUGCGAAGGCAGCUUACUACACAAUGAUUGACGCUGAGGCACGAAGGCGUGGGGAUCAAACAGG